rnacentral:rRNA from 1 species
UGGGGGGUGAGAGUCCCGUAGGUGAAAUUGUGACAUGCAUGGAAGGAAUCCUGAGUACGGCGGGACACGUGGAAUCCCGUCGGAAUCAACGAGGACCAUCUCGUAAGGCUAAAUACUACCUAGUGACCGAUACUGAAUCAGUACCGUGAGGGAAAGGUGAA